GCCGACCCGACAAGAAACUGCGAAUAAUUGGGGUGGAAGUAGAAGUAGUAGUAGUCGUUGUGGUUGUAGUACCAGGUCAGUACCUGGUCAGUACCUGGAUGGGAAACUGCCUGGGAACACCGGGUGUUGUCGGCU
rnacentral:rRNA from 1 species